UACGUAGGGUGCAAGCGUUAUCCGGAAUUAUUGGGCGUAAAGAGCUCGUAGGCGGUUUGUCGCGUCUGCUGUGAAAACUGGAGGCUCAACCUCCAGCCUGCAGUGGGUACGGGCAGACUAGAGUGCCGGUAGGGGAGAUUGGAAUUCCUGGUGUAGCGGUGGAAUGCGCAGAUAUCAGGAGGAACACCGAUGGCGAAGGCAGAUCUCUGGGCCGUAACUGACGCUGAGGAGCGAAAGCAUGGGGAGCGAACAGG
rnacentral:rRNA from 1 species